UACGUAGGGUGCGAGCGUUGUCCGGAAUUAUUGGGCGUAAAGAGCUUGUAGGCGGUUUGUCGCGUCUGCUGUGAAAAUCCGGGGCCCAACCCCGGACUUGCAGUGGGUACGGGCAGACUAGAGUGUGGUAGGGGAGACUGGAAUUCCUGGUGUAGCGGUGAAAUGCGCAGAUAUCAGGAGGAACACCGCAUGGCGGAAGGCAGGAUCUCGU
rnacentral:rRNA from 1 species